CGCCAGCAUGGCAGGCACUGGGUUGCUGUGGGUGUUCGUGGUCUCCACCUGUCUUGGAUCCAGUGUGGCCCAGAAGGUCAAUCAGCCUCAGCCAGAAAUGUCUGUGCAGGAGGCAGAGACUGUGACCCUGGCCUGUACAUAUGACACUACUGUGAGUGAUUUUUAUUUGUUCUGGUACAAACAGCCUCCCAGUGGGGAGAUGAUUCUCAUUAUCCGCCAAGAAGCUUUUAAGAAACAAAAUGCAACGAAUAAUCGCUUCUCUGCGAACUUCCAUAAAGAAAGCAAAUACUUUGGCCUCAGGAUCUCAGACUCCCGGCUGGAGGAUGCAGCGAUGUAUUUCUGUGCUCUGUCAGAGGCACAGUGA